rnacentral:rRNA from 1 species
AGCCCAAUAGCUAGCCCAACCCCUUAAACCCAAUUAAUCCCCCUUAAUAACCCCAAAGACACCAAAAACACAAAACAAACCAUUUUUCCCUCUCAGUAUAGGAGAUAGAAAAGAGUCUCGGCGCAAUAGAGAAAGUACCGCAAGGGAAAGCUGAAAGAGAAAUGAAACAACCCAGUAAAAGCCUGAAAAAGCAAAGACUAAACCUUGUACCUUUUGCAUCAUGAUUUAGCUAGCAAUACUUAAGCAAAGAAUACUUUAGUUUAAAACCCCGAAACUAGGUGAGCUACCCCAAGACAGCCUAUAAUAAGGGCGCACCCUUCUCUGUGGCAAAAGAGUGGGAAGAUCUUCGAGUAGCGGUGACAGACCUAUCGAACCUAGUUAUAGCUGGUUGCUUGGAAGAUGGAUAGAAGUUCAGCCUUUUAGGUUCUUUCCUCAACCGGUUCACCCAAACCCGCCAAUAAGAAACUAGAAGAGUUAGUCAAAGGGGGUACAGCCCCUUUGAAAAAGGACACAACCUUCCCAGGAGGUUAAGGAUCAUAAUAAACAAGGUCGGACAUUUAGGUGGGCCUAAAAGCAGCCAUCCUUAAAAAAAGCGUUACAGCUUGAGUUUCAAAUUUUGACCUUAGAUUCGGACAAUUAAUUCCCAACCCCUAACUUUACCAAGCCAUCCCAUGCCCCUUCAUGGGAGUGAUCCUGCUAAUAUGAGUAAUAAGAGAGUUAUGACUCUCUCCCUGGCACGAGUGUACAUCGGAACGAACCCCCACCGAAAAUUAACGACCCCAACAGAAGAGGGCACUGGAACACACACAUUAAAACCAGAAAAAUCUCCAUGAAUGAACCGUUAACCCCACACUGGAGUACCUGAAGGGAAAGGCUCAAAAGGAAAGAAGGAACUCGGCAAACACCUCAAGCCUCGCCUGUUUACCAAAAACAUCGCCUCUUGCAAA